rnacentral:rRNA from 1 species
GAUGAACGCUGGCGGCGUGCCUAAUACAUGCAAGUCGAGCGAACGGACGAGGAGCUUGCUUCUCUGAUGUUAGCGGCGGACGGGUGAGUCACACGUGGAUAACCUACCUAUAAGACUGGGAUAACUUCGGGAAACCGUAGCUAAUACCGGAUAAUAUUUUGAACCGCAUGGUUCAAACGUGAAAGACGGUCUUGCUGUCACUUAUAGCUGGCUCCGCGCUGCAUUAGCCAGUUGGUAAGGUAACGGCUUACCAAGGCAACGAUGCAUAGCCGACCUGAGAGGGUGAUCGGCCACACUGGAUCUGAGACACGGUCCAGACUCCUACGGGAGGCAGCAGUAGGGAAUCUUCCGCAAUGGGGGAAAGCCUGACGGAGCAACGCCGCGUGAGUGAUGAAGGUCUUCGGAUCGUAGAACUCCGUUAUUAGGGAAGAACAAAUGUGUAAGUAACUGUGCACAUCUUGACGGUACCUAAUCAGAAAGCCACGGCUAACUACGUG